rnacentral:rRNA from 1 species
GGGAUUGGGACCCGGCCCAGAUUCCUACGGGAGGCAGCAGUAGGGAAUCUUUGGCAAUGGACGAAAGUCUGACCGAGCAACGCCGCCUGAAUGAAGAAGGUUUUCGGAUCGUAAAAUUCUGUUGUUAGAGAAGAACAAGGACGUUAGUAACUGAACGUCCCCUGACGGUAUCUAACCAGAAAGCCACGGCUAACUACGUGCCAGCAGCCGCGGUAAUACGUAGGUGGCAAGCGUUGUCCGGAUUUAUUGGGCGUAAAGCGAGCGCAGGCGGUUUCUUAAGUCUGAUGUGAAAGCCCCCGGCUCAACCGGGGAGGGUCAUUGGAAACUGGGAGACUUGAGUGCAGAAGAGGAGAGUGGAAUUCCAUGUGUAGCGGUGAAAUGCGUAGAUAUAUGGAGGAACACCAGUGGCGAAGGCGGCUCUCUGGUCUGUAACUGACGCUGAGGCUCGAAAGCGUGGGGAGCAAACAGGAUUAGAUACCCUGGUAGUCCACGCCGUAAACGAUGAGUGCUAAGUGUUGGAGGGUUUCCGCCCUUCAGUGCUGCAGCAAACGCAUUAAGCACUCCGCCUGGGGAGUACGACCGCAAGGUUGAAACUCAAAGGAAUUGACGGGGGCCCGCACAAGCGGUGGAGCAUGUGGUUUAAUUCGAAGCAACGCGAAGAACCUUACCAGGUCUUGACAUCCUUUGACCACUCUAGAGAUAGAGCUUUCCCUUCGGGGACAAAGUGACAGGUGGUGCAUGGUUGUCGUCAGCUCGUGUCGUGAGAUGUUGGGUUAAGUCCCGCAACGAGCGCAACCCUUAUUGUUAGUUGCCAUCAUUUAGUUGGGCACUCUAGCGAGACUGCCGGUGACAAACCGGAGGAAGGUGGGGAUGACGUCAAAUCAUCAUGCCCCUUAUGACCUGGGCUACACACGUGCUACAAUGGGAAGUACAACGAGUCGCUAGACCGCGAGGUCAUGCAAAUCUCUUAAAGCUUCUCUCAGUUCGGAUUGCAGGCUGCAACUCGCCUGCAUGAAGCCGGAAUCGCUAGUAAUCGCGGAUCAGCACGCCGCGGUGAAUACGUUCCCGGGCCUUGUACACACCGCCCGUCACACCACGAGAGUUUGUAACACCCGAAGUCGGUGAGGUAACCUUUUGGAGCCAGCCGCUUU